GACGAACGCUGGCGGCGUGCCUAACACAUGCAAGUCGAACGGAGUUCCGCCCUUCGGGACGGGACUUAGUGGCGAACGGGUGAGUAACGCGUGAAGAACCUGCCUUUCAGUGGGGGACAACAGUCGGAAACGACUGCUAAUACCGCAUGAUACUUUUUAGAGGCAUCUCUGAAAAGUCAAAGCUUAAUGUGCUGAAAGAUGGCUUCGCGUCUGAUUAGCUAGUUGGCGGGGUAACGGCCCACCAAGGCGACGAUCAGUAGCCGGUCUGAGAGGAUGAACGGCCACAUUGGGACUGAGAUACGGCCCAG
rnacentral:rRNA from 1 species